rnacentral:lncRNA from 1 species
GUACAAGUAUUGUCCCUUCGUCCCUUCGUUCCUUUUCCUCGCCUCUUCCGAGACCUGCCCCUAAAUUCCCUCUUCUUCUUCUUCUCCUUGUCUACCCUCUCCCUCCGACUCUUCGCCCUCUUCGACGCUUCUCGUGGUGCCAUGGAGGCAGAGAAGGAGAGGGUGCUGAGGUGGAGCUUUCCAUCCGAGUGGGAGGGGCAGCAAAGGCGAGAAAUCUAGGGUCACGAUUAGAAUUUUUGCAAAGGGUGAGAUGAGGAUGAGAUGAGGGUGAGGGUUACAAAGAAGCAAAAUUAGAAACGAUGGCGACGUUUCUUCA